rnacentral:lncRNA from 1 species
GGUUGGGGCAAAGAAGUUAUCCAGGAACUUAUUGGGAUGUUUUCUUUUCAAAUUUAAAUCGAAAGGCGUUCACUCCUAGAUUUAUUUUACCUUGUGUCCACGAACGAAUUUUUACCGUUAAUCAGCAUCUAGCUAAGAUAAAAAAAAUCCUAGCCCUUUCGAUCCAUUUACAUGAAUCUAUAUUUACCUUUUUCACAUAAACUAAAUAGUGAUGUUGUCAUCAUGUUUAUUAAAAUUUCUUGUACGAUUACUGUCCUUUGAUUAAAUAUUCU